GAGCGAGUAGCUCAGUUGGUAGAGCAACUGACUUUUAAUCAGUUGGUCCAGGGUUCGAGUCCCUGCUCGCUCA
rnacentral:tRNA from 1 species